UUCUUAGUGGCCGAGUGGCUAAGGCGAUGGACUGGAAAUCCAUUUAAAGUUCUUAAGCUGUGAUA
rnacentral:tRNA from 1 species